UACGUAGGGGGCAAGCGUUGUCCGGAAUCAUUGGGCGUAAAGCGCGUGUAGGCGGUCCGGUAAGUCGGCUGUGAAAGUCCAGGGCUCAACCCUGGGAUGCCGGUCGAUACGGGCGGGCUAGAGUUCGGUAGGGGAGACUAGAAUUCCUGGUGUAGCAGUGAAAUGCGUAGAUAUCAGGAGGAAUACCGAUGGCGAAGGCAGGUCUCUGGGCUGACACUGACGCUCAUGCACGAAAGCGUGGGGAUCAAACAGG
rnacentral:rRNA from 1 species